GCUUAAGAAGCACUAAGCUUCAUAAGUUCAUAUGUGGGAUGCAUCUACUCCACACAGACUCCAGCUAUGUAGAUUGCCAUCCUACUACAUGCUAAAACAGCUGAGAAUGAGCUUUCUUAGGCAAAAUUUCAAGGAAUGAGAACAUAUUUAACUCAAGGAGGAGUAAUGGGAUACAACUUCUCACCCCUCCAGGCAGGGUACAGGUCUGAUGGCAGACAACCAGCAGCUUCUCCAGUAGCUCCUCCAACAGCUUCCUUCUCACUCUGAAAAUAAGACACAGAACCAGAUAACACAGCAUCCAAAGGCGGGAAAACAUAAGCACAAAUUUUUUGCAAGUCACAAAGGAAACAUGAAUACUUCUGUUGGCUUAUUUUGCAAAACAAAUGAAAUCUAUUUUUCUUAAUCUUCUCUAUGCUAUCAUCCAGGACAUUCCUGGCUACAAAUGAGAAAAAGGAAGACAAAAAGAUGGAACAGACAAGGAAGAGAAAAAGGAGGAAAGAGAAGAGGACAAAGUAGAGAACAAGAAAAAGCAUACAGUCAGAAUUUAUUAUUUUUUAUCUGAAUAAAUGAGGUAGUUAAUAAUGGACAGUAAAUGCUUGACCAGAGUCCUCAAAAGGGGAGCAAACCAUUGAAAAACUACUUUUUAUCAGGCACUAUCUUAUUUUUCUUAUUUUCUUAUUUUAGCCUUAAGAUCAAAUUGGGAAAUAGGCCAUCUUUUGGCAAUCAGAAAAUUAGAAACAGACAUUUUUAGCAACAUUGAUGUGGGAAAUAAAGGCAAGAGAAAAAUAGAAUUAAAUCUCCUUACUGCCUACAGCCCACUGACAAGUCCUUGAAACUGGUAAUCUUCCUCUAUAGCUCAGCUGCCUCAAUGUUGACACUUUGCUAAAGGCAAAGGCAAUCUUAGUUUAACAAUAUCCUGACCUCCCCAGGGUCCUGUAAAUCUAAUUUAACAUAUAAAAAUUCCUUUGGAAUUUCCUUUAUCUCUAAUCCUCAAAAUACAUUUUAGCAAUCUGUCCUCCAAGGAUACAGCCCACUGAUAUACACCUGAAAGAUCUCAUGACUAAGGUUUUCUUAGACAGUAAUAAAUGAUUUUUCCCUAACUAGCUAGCCCCCCAAGAUCCUAGAAACCUUACUUCCAAAAUUUCUCAGAGACUUACACUAUCCCUAACCCUCUCCCAACAUGAAAAUAUAUAACCAGUGACCCAUCUCAACCCCAGUGCACCUCUUUCUGUCCACAGGUCAUGUCCUCAUGAUUUAAUAAAACCACCAUUUACACCAAAGAUAUCUCUAGAAUUCUUUCUUGGCCAUCAGCUCCAAACCCCAAGAUUUCUACAUUGCAAUGCCUGGUUUUGUGUGCUAUUUAAGUCGGAACUAGAAUUGGAUUCCAAUUUCUUUGAUUAUUUAGUUCUUUUAAUUAUUUUAUUAUGCUGCUUCUCAAAUCAGAAGGAAACCAUUCGGGCUGGCAAUUUUUUUUUCUCUACUCCAUGUCUGAUUAUGACAAGUAGUUACAAUAUCUGUGUUUAUUUAUAAAAGCAUGAA